CAUGUAGUUCAGUUGGUUAGAGCGUCAGAUUGUGGUUCUGAAUGUCGUGGGUUCGAGUCCCAUCUU
rnacentral:tRNA from 2 species